rnacentral:rRNA from 1 species
GAUGAACGCUGGCGGCGUGCCUAAUACAUGCAAGUCGAGCGAACGGACGAGAAGCUUGCUUCUCUGAUGUUAGCGGCGGACGGGUGAGUAACACGUGGAUAACCUACCUAUAAGACUGGGAUAACUUCGGGAAACCGGAGCUAAUACCGGAUAAUAUUUUGAACCGCAUGGUUCAAAAGUGAAAGACGGUCUUGCUGUCACUUAUAGAUGGAUCCGCGCUGCAUUAGCUAGUUGGUAAGGUAACGGCUUACCAAGGCAACGAUGCAUAGCCGACCUGAGAGGGUGAUCGGCCAGACUGGAACUGGGACACGGUCCAGAGUCCUACGGGAGGCAGCAGUAGGGAAUCUUCCGCAAUGGGCGAAAGCCUGACGGAGCAACGCCGCGUGAGUGAUGAAGGUCUUCGGAUCGUAAAACUCUGUUAUUAGGGAAGAACAUAUGUGUAAGUAACUGUGCACAUCUUGACGGUACCUAAUCAGAAAGCCACGGCUAACUACGUG